UACAGAGACUGCAAGCGUUGUUCGGAUUCAUUGGGCGUAAAGGGUGCGCAGGCGGUGCGUUAAGUCGGAUGUGAAAUCUCACAGCCUAACUGCGAUAGGUCAUUCGAAACUGGCGUGCUUGAGGACUGGAGAGGAGACUGGAAUGGUCGGUGUAGCGGUGAAAUGCGUAGAGAUCGUCAAGAAGACCGGUGGCGAAGGCGGGUCUCUGGACAGUUCCUGACGCUGAGGCACGAAAGCCAGGGGAGCAAACGGG
rnacentral:rRNA from 1 species